GGAACGAGGGCGCUCCAAGUGGA
rnacentral:siRNA from 1 species